rnacentral:rRNA from 1 species
CCGGUUGAUCCUGCCAGAGGUUACUGCUAUCGGAGUUCGAUUAAGCCAUGCGAGUCUAAAGGUUUCUUCGGAAGCCUUGGCGGACUGCUCAGUAACACGUGGAUAACCUGCCCUUAGGUCUGGCAUAACCCCGGGAAACUGGGGAUAAUACCGGAUAGAUCAGGGGUCGCUGGAAUGCGCCCUGAUCCAAAGCUCCGGCGCCUAAGGAUGGGUCUGCGACCUAUCAGGUUGUAGUGGGUGUAAUGUACCUACUAGCCGACGACGGGUACGGGUUGUGAGAGCAAGAGCCCGGAGAUGGAUUCUGAGACACGAAUCCAGGCCCUACGGGGUGCAGCAGGCGCGAAACCUUUACAAUGUGCGAAAGCAUGAUAAGGGAACUCCGAGUGCCAGCAUUAAAUGUUGGCUGUCCUUGUGCCUAAAACGCACAAGAUAGCAAGGGCCGGGUAAGACCGGUGCCAGCCGCCGCGGUAACACCGGCGGCCCGAGUGGUAGUCGCUAUUAUUGGGUCUAAAGGGUCCGUAGCCGGUUUGAUAAGUCCUCUGGGAAAUCUGAUUGCUCAACAAUCAGGCUGCCAAGGGAUACUGUCAAACUUGAGACCGGGAGAGGUAAGAGGUACUUCAGGGGUAGGAGUGAAAUCUUAUAAUCCUU